GGAAGACACUUCCUACUUAUGUUCAAACGACGUGAAGUGUUAAACGAAAAAAAUGACUUGUCUUUAGUGGGAGUUCCUUCAUUUCUCGGCUCUUCAACGCAGUUAGUCCAGAAUUGAUUUGAACCGCAGGAACUACUUCUGCCAGAUGAGGAGUCCGUGGAGAAGCGCUGCAUUUUGGGGAAGGGUGGAAGAUCCAGGUUUCCUGCGCAAUGCUUCGGUGACAGGUGGAUGCUGGGUCAUCUGACGCACCAGCAGCACGCUAGGGCACUCCAAAACCGGUUUGGUGCGGAUGGAACUUGACUUUGGUGGUUUCUCCUUUAACUCAAGACAACAACCAAGGGUGGUACCAAAAGGGGGGCCUGGAGUCCUCUUCUAAGCACCAGAGAUGGAAACAAACCAUCACAGCAUUAUAGUUCCUCUGCCGGUGAUGACCCUGGAGACCUCAGUGUGUAUGCUGAAGUUUGGGGUCAGAUCUGAUCUAGACCCUGCAUUAUAAAAUCUCUGUCGUAUCAGCAGAGAUCGGACAUAAGAUUCCCCAUCUAAAAAAACACAGCACUCCUCUGAAUCAACGGAUCCUUCCUGUUCUGAAGCCACCACCUAGAAAACACACAGGAAGUCAAAUUUAACAGCUAAUCUUCAAAGAAAUAAAGAACUUGCAGCAAGUGUGCCUCAUUCAGUAAUGCAUGUGUACCCAUUUGAUCAUAAAACCUGUGUGCAAAUGUUAAUUUUUUGUUUAUUUUUAUAUUUAUGUCUGUAUGCUCUUGUUGUUAAUACAGUGGUUUGUUUAACUGUCUUUUAUAUUUUUUCAAAUUGAAGGUUAGACUGAAUCCUACAACCCUUACCUGUUCAAGCAUGCAAUGCAAUAUAAGAGGUACAGAUGUGAUUUCAGUAGGAAUCCUGUCCAGUAAAUCACAGUAGUAUCUCAUAUCAACCUCUGUGCUCAGAACAGGAGACUCAGGCUCUGCUGAGGAAACCCAUAGGUUCAGUUUAAGACUUUAAUAAAUAUUAAAGACUUAAGUAUUAAUGUAUUUUAAGGAUUUGAUAGUAUUAAAUGAAAGAACAAAACAUGAAUUCAUUUAAAACUUUAAUGUUGUUGUUGAUAAAAUUUUCUUUAAUCAUACAUUUCUCUAUAUAUUUUAAUAUAUCUGUAUAUAUAAAUGUAAAGGAUAUGUAAAACCAAAACUCUGACCACCAUGGUCUUCCUCUGACACUCCUUUCUUCCUCGGGGUUUGUAGAAACUAAAACAUAAACCACAGUUAAUAUCAUCACCAAAAAAACAACAUGUACAUCCUGCCUCAAAACACUUCUGAAAUGAACAGUUUUUUCUGCACUUGCUACAUUCAGGGUUUCUGUAGGUUUUAUGAUUGUAAAUGUAAGACUUUAAGACCAAGAAAAAAAAAAAAAAAGGAUUUUUAAAAAAAUAACUUCCAACGAAUCUCCAUUACUUUUUAAUUCAUCUUACAAAACAAAAAAAGCUCUGCUUCCAAAUACUAAAAUAUGGAAAUAACUUUUAAUGUACCUUCUGAUCACACUGCAAAAAAGUGACGCUCUUCCUCAGUAUUUUUGUCUUGUUUUCCAGUGUAAAUCUCUAAAGAUUUUUACAUCGAGAUACACUUACUUUAAAAAGACAUCAGAGGUCUUAUUUACUGUUAAAUUUAUCAAAAUGAAGUGAGUUGAUUUAUGACUAAAACAAGAACAAAUAUCUACCAAUGGCCUAAAAUAGAAAAAGUUUUCAUACCCCACCUACAGAUAUUUAUUCUUAUUUUAUUAACUUAAUUUUGUGAACUUAAUUUUGUUCAGUUUAUCAAGACUGUUUUACAUAUAACAAAAUACUGAGGAAGAUAUAAUUUUUUUUUAAUGCAUACAACAUUUAAUGCCCUGACUCUAUCCAUUUAAGACCUUUUAAGACCUUGAAUUGUGGAAAGGCAAAUUAAGACUUUAUGACCCACAGAAACCCUAUACCUUUAUCUGGCAUAUUGACAGCACUACUGUCAGUAAAGUCUGAUGUGUACCUCAGUGGAGCUCAGUGGUCGGGACUGCUGGAUGGAUCUGCUGGCCUCGGGCACCUGGAUCAACCUCGUGCAGUUGAGAUAAUGGCUGUACUGUCUCCUCCAGUCCAGGCUGUCAUACACCAGACAUGCCACCCCCUCAAAUAUAGCAGCUCCAAAUGCUAGCUGCAGACAGCAGUGGAAGACAAACAGAGUAAUGUAAUAUGUGGAACCUUGAUGAUAUCACAUGCAAUGAGACAUACAAGGGUUUAAGAUACAUUAUGACAAUAAAUAAACAAACAAAAUAUAUUAAACAGAAACAGAAAAAAAAUCUGAAUCACAGGUCUUAUUUGGUAGAAGAAAGUGUACAUCUUGUUCUCCAUUCACCAUAGCUUCAGUGUUGCAUUCGUCCUGGGGCAGCAAAUGGAUCUUCACGCUAUAGUUCAACCUGGCAACAUCACUGAGUCUGGAUCCCAUAUUCCCACUGUUCAAGACUUGAUCCAGAUGCUUCCAGAACACAUCUAGCUCCCGCUGCCUCUGUUGUUUCAGAGUCUCAACUUCUGAACACAGGAUGAGUUAAAACUGGGUGAUCUUGAUUUUUGUAUGUAUACAAAUGUAACACCAGCCUUCCAUUGUGAGCUAGCCAGCAUUUUCUGCAUGCACUAUGUGAUAUAAUUUGAGAGGUAUAAGCUUAAUAAAAUUCUUAGCAAUUUGCCUUGA